rnacentral:rRNA from 1 species
CACGAACCGGACAAACGUUAUUCGGAAUCACUGGGCUUAAAGGGUGCGUAGGCGGUCUGACAAGUUGGGUGUGAAAUCCCUCGGCUCAACCGAGGAAUAGCGCUCAAAACUGUUGGACUUGAGGGAGUUAGAGGUAAGCGGAACUUAGGGUGGAGCGGUGAAAUGCGUUGAUAUCCUAAGGAACACCAGUGGCGAAAGCGGCUUACUGGAGCUUUUCUGACGCUGAGGCACGAAAGCCAGGGGAGCGAACGGGAUUAGAUACC